rnacentral:rRNA from 1 species
UACAGAGGUCCCAAGCGUUGUUCGGAUUCACUGGGCGUAAGGGGUGCGUAGGUGGUCGGGUAAGUCUGAUGUGAAAGCUCUGGGCUCAACCCAGAAAUGGCAUUGGAUACUAUCUGGCUAGAGGAAUGGAGGGGGGACUGGAAUACUUGGUGUAGCAGUGAAAUGCGUAGAUAUCAAGUGGAACACCAGUGGCGAAGGCGAGUCCCUGGACAUUUCCUGACACUGAGGCACGAAAGCUAGGGGAGCAAACAGG